rfam:Xenopus tropicalis strain Nigerian Chr06_contig_2953, whole genome shotgun sequence.
GGCCUUGUGCUCAUUGGGAGCCUCUGUCUUGCCAUACAGAUGACCCAGGUUCGAAUCCUGGCAAGGUCA